rnacentral:sRNA from 1 species
GGUUUCCCGGUUCCCCUUUGGUUAAUGCGCAACUGUUUCAGAUUGCAGGAGGAGAUGCUUCAGAGAGAGGAAGCCGAGAACACCCUGCAAUCUUUCAGACAGGAUGUUGACAACGCGUCUCUGGCACGUCUUGACCUUGAACGCAAAGUGGAAUCUUUGCAAGAAGAGAUUGCCUUUUUGAAGAAACUCCACGAAGAGGAAAUCCAGGAGCUGCAGGCUCAGAUUCAGGAACAGCAUGUCCAAAUUGAUGUGGAUGUUUCCAAGCCUGACCUCACGGCUGCCCUGCGUGACGUUCGUCAGCAAUAUGAAAGCGUGGCUGCCAAGAACCUGCAGGAGGCAGAAGAAUGGUACAAGUCCAAGUUUGCUGACCUCUCUGAGGCUGCCAACCGGAACAAUGACGCCCUGCGCCAGGCAAAGCAGGAGUCCACUGAGUACCGGAGACAGGUGCAGUCCCUCACCUGUGAAGUGGAUGCCCUUAAAGGAACCGUGAGUACCAACUCUGCAGUAAAAGAGGGAAAAUAAUGAUCCAUUCUGCUGACUAAGCUCAUGGUGAUACCUGAACAAAAUGUUGAGUGAGUAAAAAUUUAUACCAUAAUGCAAAGAAAAUGAGUUAUCAAGACAGACUCAAAAGGGACUUGAUGGAACUCCUGAAGGUUUUAGCUUGCAUAUAUCAUUGCUUCUAAUAUGAAGGACUUGGUACUUGCAUUCUCCACCUAAAAUUAGAGUGGUCACCAUUUGCCGCUAAUGGAAAUU